rnacentral:rRNA from 1 species
UACAGAGGGUGCGAGCGUUAAUCGGAAUUAUUGGGCGUAAAGAGCAUGUAGGUGGUGAAAUAAGUUGGAUGUGAAAGACCCGGGCUUAACCUGGGGGUGUCAUCCAAUACUGUUUUGCUUUGAGUAGGGAAGAGGGAAGUGGAAUUCUCGGUGUAGCGGUGAAAUGCGUAGAUAUCGGGAGGAACACCAGUGGCGAAGGCGGCUUCCUGGUCCACUACUGACACUCAAGUGCGAAAGCGUGGGGAGCAAACAGG